GAGUUGGGCCCUACGCAAUAAAAACUCAUGAACUCCGUCAGGUCCGGAAGGAAGCAGCGGUAAGUGAGGACCUUUAUGUGCCGUAGGCAAACCUAACUUGAGU
rnacentral:SRP_RNA from 1 species